AGAUUCUGGCACAAAACUGUUUUGUAAUCUGGUGUUUUGUUAUGUAUCAUUUUAUGGAAUAGGGUCAGUUUCUCAAUGCGCCUUCUUUCUGCUAGAGGUAAAAGAUCAGUUUCUGAAUAUAAUUU